UACAGAGGUCUCAAGCGUUGUUCGGAUUCAUUGGGCGUAAAGGGUGCGUAGGCGGCGCGGUAAGUCGGGUGUGAAAUUUCGAGGCUUAACUUCGAAACUGCAUUCGAUACUGCCGUGCUUGAGGACUGGAGAGGAGACUGGAAUUUACGGUGUAGCGGUGAAAUGCGUAGAUAUCGUAAGGAAGACCAGUGGCGAAGGCGGGUCUCUGGGCAGUAACUGACGCUGAGGAGCGAAAGCGUGGGGAGCGAACAGG
rnacentral:rRNA from 1 species